rnacentral:rRNA from 1 species
AUUGAACGCUGGCGGCAGGCCCAACACAUGCAAGUCGAACGGUAACAGGAAGCAGCUUGCUGCUUCGCUGACGAGUGGCGGACGGGUGAGUAAUGUCUGGGAAGCUGCCUGAUGGAGGGGGAUAACUACUGGAAACGGUAGCUAAUACCGCAUAAUGUCGCAAGACCAAAGAGGGGGACCUUCGGGCCUCUUGCCAUCGGAUGUGCCCAGAUGGGAUUAGCUUGUUGGUGGGGUAACGGCUCACCAAGGCGACGAUCCCUAGCUGGUCUGAGAGGAUGACCAGCCACACUGGGACUGAGACACGGUCCAGACUCCUACGGGAGGCAGCAGUGGGGAAUAUUGCACAAUGGGCGCAAGCCUGAUGCAGCCAUGCCGCGUGUAUGAAGAAGGCCUUCGGGUUGUAAAGUACUUUCAGCGGGGAGGAAGGGAGUAAAGUUAAUACCUUUGCUCAUUGACGUUACCCGCAGAAGAAGCACCGGCUAACUCCGUG